rnacentral:rRNA from 1 species
CCUACGGGAGGCAACAGUGGGGAAUAUUGCACAAUGGGGGAAACCCUGAUGCAGCGACGCCGCGUGAGUGAAGAAGUAUUUCGGUAUGUAAAGCUCUAUCAGCAGGGAAGUAAAUGACGGUACCUGACUAAAGAUCCCCGGCUAACUCCGUGCCAGCAGCCGCGGUAAGACGUAGGGGGCAAGCGUUAUCCGGAUUUACUGGGUGUAAAGGGGGCGUAGACGGACAGACAAGUCAGAAGUGAAAGCCCAGGGCUCAACCCUGGGACUGCUUUUGAAACUGCCGGGCUAGAGUGCAGGAGGGGUAAGCGGAAUGCAUAGUGUAGCGGUGAAAUGCGUAGAUAUUAGGCGGAACACCAGUGGCGAAGGCGGCUUACUGAACUGUAACUGACGUUGAGGCUCGAAAGCGUGGGGAGCAAACAGGAUUAGAUACUCGGGUAGUC